GAAACAUCUUCGGGUUGUGAGGUUAAGCGACUAAGCGUACACGGUGGAUGCCCUGGCAGUCAGAGGCGAUGAAGGACGUGCUAAUCUGCGAUAAGCGUCGGUAAGGUGAUAUGAACCGUUAUAACCGGCGAUUUCCGAAUGGGGAAACCCAGUGUGAUUCGUCACACUAUCAUUAACUGAAUCCAUAGGUUAAUGAGGCGAACCGGGGGAACUGAAACAUCUAAGUACCCCGAGGAAAAGAAAUCAACCGAGAUUCCCCCAGUAGCGGCGAGCGAACGGGGAGCAGCCCAGAGCCUGAAUCAGUGUGUGUGUUAGUGGAAGCGUCUGGAAAGGCGCGCGAUACAGGGUGACAGCCCCGUACACAAAAAUGCACAUACUGUGAGCUCGAUGAGUAGGGCGGGACACGUGGUAUCCUGUCUGAAUAUGGGGGGACCAUCCUCCAAGGCUAAAUACUCCUGACUGACCGAUAGUGAACCAGUACCGUGAGGGAAAGGCGAAAAGAACCCCGGCGAGGGGAGUGAAAAAGAACCUGAAACCGUGUACGUACAAGCAGUGGGAGCACGCUUAGGCGUGUGACUGCGUACCUUUUGUAUAAUGGGUCAGCGACUUAUAUUCUGUAGCAAGGUUAACCGAAUAGGGGAGCCGAAGGGAAACCGAGUCUUAACUGGGCGUUAAGUUGCAGGGUAUAGACCCGAAACCCGGUGAUCUAGCCAUGGGCAGGUUGAAGGUUGGGUAACACUAACUGGAGGACCGAACCGACUAAUGUUGAAAAAUUAGCGGAUGACUUGUGGCUGGGGGUGAAAGGCCAAUCAAACCGGGAGAUAGCUGGUUCUCCCCGAAAGCUAUUUAGGUAGCGCCUCGUGAAUUCAUCUCCGGGGGUAGAGCACUGUUUCGGCAAGGGGGUCAUCCCGACUUACCAACCCGAUGCAAACUGCGAAUACCGGAGAAUGUUAUCACGGGAGACACACGGCGGGUGCUAACGUCCGUCGUGAAGAGGGAAACAACCCAGACCGCCAGCUAAGGUCCCAAAGUCAUGGUUAAGUGGGAAACGAUGUGGGAAGGCCCAGACAGCCAGGAUGUUGGCUUAGAAGCAGCCAUCAUUUAAAGAAAGCGUAAUAGCUCACUGGUCGAGUCGGCCUGCGCGGAAGAUGUAACGGGGCUAAACCAUGCACCGAAGCUGCGGCAGCGACGCUGAUGCGUUGUUGGGUAGGGGAGCGUUCUGUAAGCCUGUGAAGGUGUGCUGUGAGGCAUGCUGGAGGUAUCAGAAGUGCGAAUGCUGACAUAAGUAACGAUAAAGCGGGUGAAAAGCCCGCUCGCCGGAAGACCAAGGGUUCCUGUCCAACGUUAAUCGGGGCAGGGUGAGUCGACCCCUAAGGCGAGGCCGAAAGGCGUAGUCGAUGGGAAACAGGUUAAUAUUCCUGUACUUGGUGUUACUGCGAAGGGGGGACGGAGAAGGCUAUGUUGGCCGGGCGACGGUUGUCCCGGUUUAAGCGUGUAGGCUGGUUUUCCAGGCAAAUCCGGAAAAUCAAGGCUGAGGCGUGAUGACGAGGCACUACGGUGCUGAAGCAACAAAUGCCCUGCUUCCAGGAAAAGCCUCUAAGCAUCAGGUAACAUCAAAUCGUACCCCAAACCGACACAGGUGGUCAGGUAGAGAAUACCAAGGCGCUUGAGAGAACUCGGGUGAAGGAACUAGGCAAAAUGGUGCCGUAACUUCGGGAGAAGGCACGCUGAUAUGUAGGUGAAGCGACUUGCUCGUGGAGCUGAAAUCAGUCGAAGAUACCAGCUGGCUGCAACUGUUUAUUAAAAACACAGCACUGUGCAAACACGAAAGUGGACGUAUACGGUGUGACGCCUGCCCGGUGCCGGAAGGUUAAUUGAUGGGGUCAGCGCAAGCGAAGCUCUUGAUCGAAGCCCCGGUAAACGGCGGCCGUAACUAUAACGGUCCUAAGGUAGCGAAAUUCCUUGUCGGGUAAGUUCCGACCUGCACGAAUGGCGUAAUGAUGGCCAGGCUGUCUCCACCCGAGACUCAGUGAAAUUGAACUCGCUGUGAAGAUGCAGUGUACCCGCGGCAAGACGGAAAGACCCCGUGAACCUUUACUAUAGCUUGAUACUGAACAUUGAGCCUUGAUGUGUAGGAUAGGUGGGAGGCUUUGAAGUGUGGACGCCAGUCUGCAUGGAGCCGACCUUGAAAUACCACCCUUUAAUGUUUGAUGUUCUAACGUUGACCCGUAAUCCGGGUUGCGGACAGUGUCUGGUGGGUAGUUUGACUGGGGCGGUCUCCUCCUAAAGAGUAACGGAGGAGCACGAAGGUUGGCUAAUCCUGGUCGGACAUCAGGAGGUUAGUGCAAUGGCAUAAGCCAGCUUGACUGCGAGCGUGACGGCGCGAGCAGGUGCGAAAGCAGGUCAUAGUGAUCCGGUGGUUCUGAAUGGAAGGGCCAUCGCUCAACGGAUAAAAGGUACUCCGGGGAUAACAGGCUGAUACCGCCCAAGAGUUCAUAUCGACGGCGGUGUUUGGCACCUCGAUGUCGGCUCAUCACAUCCUGGGGCUGAAGUAGGUCCCAAGGGUAUGGCUGUUCGCCAUUUAAAGUGGUACGCGAGCUGGGUUUAGAACGUCGUGAGACAGUUCGGUCCCUAUCUGCCGUGGGCGCUGGAGAACUGAGGGGGGCUGCUCCUAGUACGAGAGGACCGGAGUGGACGCAUCACUGGUGUUCGGGUUGUCAUGCCAAUGGCACUGCCCGGUAGCUAAAUGCGGAAGAGAUAAGUGCUGAAAGCAUCUAAGCACGAAACUUGCCCCGAGAUGAGUUCUCCCUGACUCCUUGAGAGUCCUGAAGGAACGUUGAAGACGACGACGUUGAUAGGCCGGGUGUGUAAGCGCAGCGAUGCGUUGAGCUAACCGGUACUAAUGAACCGUGAGGCUUAACCUU
rnacentral:rRNA from 1 species